rnacentral:rRNA from 1 species
GGAAGAUUAAUACCGCAUAAGAUUGUAGCUUCGCAUGAAGUAGCAAAUUAAAGGAUUUAUUCGCUAUGAGAUGGACCCGCGGCGCAUUAGCUAGUUGGCGAGGUAACGGCUCACCAAGGCGACGAUGCGUAGCCGACCUGAGAGGGUGAUCGGCCACAUUGGAACUGAGACACGGUCCAGACUCCUACGGGGAGGCAGCAGGUGGGGAAUAUUGCACAAUGGGGGAAACCCUGAUGCAGCAACGCCGCGUGAGUGAUGACGGUCUUCGGAUUGUAAAGCUCUGUCUUUAGGGACGAUAAUGACGGUACCUAAGGAGGAAGCCACGGCUAACUACGUG